rnacentral:rRNA from 1 species
GGAAAACAGAAACGAAGCGUCCGCCCCCCGCUCCCCGUCCGCGGAGCGUGCGGGGGACCGGCCGUCUAUCAAAAUGUCAUAACGACUCUCGGCAACGGAUAUCUCGGCUCUCGCAUCGAUGAAGAACGUAGCGAAAUGCGAUACUUGGUGUGAAUUGCAGAAUCCCGUGAACCAUCGAGUCUUUGAACGCAAGUUGCGCCCGAAGCCAUCAGGCCGA